rnacentral:snRNA from 1 species
GGAUGUGAAGGUGAUCUGGCUGUAACAUCUGUCACCCCAUUGAUCACCAGGGUUGAUUCUGAUCAACCCUGAUCUGACUGGCUAGGCGGGUGUCCCCUUCCUCCCUCACUGCUCCAUGUGUGUCCUUCUGGAAGCAGAAGGAAACAUUUCCUGCAGGGAUUGGUUAAAAUUCAAAUGUCUUUUAUUGAAUUUAAAUUAUCACAUGUUAAAUAUUCAUGCAAGACAUAGAUGAAUAUUUCCACCAGCAAUAUUUGGAAGUUUUUUCUCU